GCCCCCGUAGCUCAGUGGACAGAGCGGAGCACUCCUAAGGCUUGCGCGUGAGUUCGAUUCUCACCGGGGGUA
rnacentral:tRNA from 1 species